GAAAUGCGAUAAGUAAUGUGAAUUGCAGAAUUCAGUGAAUCAUCGAAUCUUUGAACGCACAUUGCGCUCCCUGGCAUUCCGGGGAGCACGCCUGUCCGAGCGCCGACCGACCCCUUCAAGCCUAGCUUGGUGUUGGGCCCCGCCCCCGCCGUCCGCGGCGAGGGCGCCGCCCGAAAGUCAUCGGCGCCCCGUCGCCGGCCCCAGCGUUGCGGAAUCAUCCGCUGGGCCCGGCCGACGCGGCCGCCUCGUCCCCAUCAGUACCCAUUGGCCUCGGAUCAGGCGGGGAUACCCGCUGAACUUAA
rnacentral:misc_RNA from 1 species